ACCUACGGGAGGCAGCAGUAGGGAAUUUUCGUCAAUGGGCGCAAGCCUGAACGAGCAAUGCCGCGUGAACGAGGAAGGUCUUCGGAUCGUAAAGUUCUGUUGAAGGGGAAAAAGAGCGGAGAGAGGAAAUGCUUUCUGAUUGAUAUUACCCUUCGAGGAAGUCACGGCUAACUACGUGCCAGCAGCCGCGGUAAUACGUAGGUGGCGAGCGUUAUCCGGAAUGAUUGGGCGUAAAGGGUGCGUAGGCGGCCUGCUAAGUCUGGAGUGAAAGGUACCGGCUCAACCGGUACAUGCUCUGGAAACUG
rnacentral:rRNA from 1 species